rnacentral:rRNA from 1 species
AUUGAACGCUGGCGGCAUGCCUUACACAUGCAAGUCGAACGGUAACGGGCCUUCUGGUGCCGGCGUGUGCGGCACGGGGGAGUAAUACACCUGGACGUGCCCGUGGGUGUGGGGGAAAGAGUCGGGAGCUUGGCUAAUAUCCCACACGAGCUCCGGGUGAGAGCAGGGGGGAUCAUGGCCCCUCACGCUCGCAGCUGACGAUGGGAGAUUAGGUAGUUGGUGGGAUAAAAACUUACCAAGACGACGAUCUGUAGCUGGUCUGAGAGGAUGAUCAGCCACACUGGAACUGAGACACGGCCCAGACUCCUACGGGAGGCAGCAGUGGGGAAUUUUGGACAAUGGGCGCAAGCCUGAUCCAGCCAUGCCGCGUGCAGGAUGAAGGCCUUCGGGUUGUAAACUGCUUUUGUACGGAACGAAAAGCCUUCUUUUAAUACAGGGGGGUCAUGACGGUACCGGAAGAAUAAGCACCGGCUAACUACGUG